CAGCCGCCGCGGUAAUACGUAGGGUGCAAGCGUUAAUCGGAAUUACUGGGCGUAAAGCGUGCGCAGGCGGUGUUGUAAGACUGAUGUGAAAUCCCCAGGCUCAACCUGGGAACUGCAUUGGUGACUGCAACGCUGGAGUGCGGCAGAGGGGGAUGGAAUUCCGCGUGUAGCAGUGAAAUGCGUAGAUAUGCGGAGGAACACCGAUGGCGAAGGCAAUCCCCUGGGCCUGCACUGACGCUCAUGCACGAAAGCGUGGGGAGCAAACAGGAUUAGAUACCCCCGUAGUCCCUGUCUCUUAUAC
rnacentral:rRNA from 1 species